rnacentral:rRNA from 1 species
UACGGAGGAUGCAAGCGUUACUCGGAAUUACUAGGCGUAAAGGGCAGGUAGGUGGUUUGGUAAGUCUAUUGUGAAAGCUCCCGGCUUAACUGGGAGAGGUCAAUAGAUACUGCCGGACUUGAGUAUAGGAGAGGUUACUGGAAUUCCCGGUGUAGCGGUGAAAUGCGCAGAGAUCGGGAGGAACACCAAUGGCGAAAGCAGGCAACUGGACUAUUACUGACGCUAAGCUGCGAAAGCUAGGGGAGCAAACAGG